AAUUGGAGUGGUGCUCCAAACAAUCCAUGCCGUGUGAAGACCAUUCCUCGUCCAAUUCCUGAGAAGAAAUGGUACCUCACACCAUCUGUUGUUUCACUGAUGGGAGGACUGCUACCCUUUGGCAGCAUAUUCAUUGAGAUGUAUUUUGUCUUCACAUCCUUCUGGAAUUACAAGGUUUACUAUGUGUAUGGCUUUAUGCUACUUGUUUUUCUGAUACUCAUUAUUGUCACUGUUUGUGUGACAAUUGUUGGGACAUAUUUCUUGCUCAAUGCUGAGAACUAUCACUGGCAG
rnacentral:misc_RNA from 1 species